AAUAGAUACCCGGUAGUCCACGCCGUAAACGAUGAGUGCUAAGUGUUAGAGGGUUUCCGCCCUUUAGUGCUGCAGCUAACGCAUUAAGCACUCCGCCUGGGGAGUACGGCCGCAAGGCUGAAACUCAAAGGAAUUGACGGGGGCCCGCACAAGCGGUGGAGCAUGUGGUUUAAUUCGAAGCAACGCGAAGAACCUUACCAGGUCUUGACAUCCUCUGCCAACCCUAGAGAUAGGGCGUUCCCCUUCGGGGGACAGAGUGACAGGUGGUGCAUGGUUGUCGUCAGCUCGUGUCGUGAGAUGUUGGGUUAAGUCCCGCAACGAGCGCAACCCUUGAUCUUAGUUGCCAGCAUUUGGUUGGGCACUCUAAGGUGACUGCCGGUGACAAACCGGAGGAAGGUGGGGAUGACGUCAAAUCAUCAUGCCCCUUAUGACCUGGGCUACACACGUGCUACAAUGGAUGGUACAAAGAGCUGCGAACCCGCGAGGGUAAGCGAAUCUCAUAAAGCCAUUCUCAGUUCGGA
rnacentral:rRNA from 1 species